GCGAGUCAACAUAGCAAUAUGUGGCAUACGGCUCAGUAACACGUAGUCAACAUGCCCAGGGGACGUGGAUAACCUCGGGAAACUGAGGAUAAACCGCGAUAGGUCAUCACUUCUGGAAUGGGUAAUGGCUUAAAUCUACAUGGCCCCUGGAUUGGACUGCGGCCGAUCAGGCUGUUGGUGAGGUAAUGGCCCACCAAACCUGUAACCGGUACGGGCUCUGAGAGGAGGAGCCCGGAGAUGGGCACUGAGACAAGGGCCCAGGCCCUAUGGGGCGCAGCAGGCGCGAAACCUCUGCAAUAGGCGAAAGCUUGACAGGGUUACUCUGAGUGAUUUCCGUUAAGGAGAUCUUUUGGCACCUCUAAAAAUGGUGCAGAAUAAGGGGUGGGCAAGUCUGGUGUCAGCCGCCGCGGUAAUACCAGCACCCCGAGUGGUCGGGACGUUUAUUGGGCCUAAAGCAUCCGUAGCCGGUUCUACAAGUCUUCCGUUAAAUCCACCUGCUUAACAGAUGGGCUGCGGAAGAUACUAUAGAGCUAGGAGGCGGGAGAGGCAAGCGGUACUCGAUGGGUAGGGGUAAAAUCCGUUGAUCCAUUGAAGACCACCAGUGGCGAAGGCGGCUUGCCAGAACGCGCUCGACGGUGAGGGAUGAAAGCUGGGGGAGCAAACCGGAUUAGAUACCCGGGUAGUCCCAGCUGUAAACGAUGCAGACUCGGUGAUGAGUUGGCUUAUUGCUAACUCAGUGCCGCAGGGAAGCCGUUAAGUUUGCCGCCUGGGGAGUACGGUCGCAAGACUGAAACUUAAAGGAAUUGGCGGGGGAGCACCACAAGGGGUGAAGCCUGCGGUUCAAUUGGAUUCAACGCCGGG
rnacentral:rRNA from 1 species